AAAUACACAACUCUUGAUGGGGCAUGAACUUUAUUCCAAGUCACUGAAGGUUUUCAGGAAGCCAUCACUGCAAUUCCUCUUGCUCCCCUGGGAAACUGAGGCUCGCUCUGUGCUCGCUGCCUCCUCAAGUUGGAGUGCAUUUCUGGCGGAAGUGAUUACGUUAGUCUUUCGCCGAAAUGGCAUCUGGGAGAAAUAGGCACUACAUGGUUCUGUUCCUGCUGCUGACUGGGCCCCAAAGGCCUCUGGGUAAAGAAGUGGGCAGGCAUUGCACAAGGCAGCAACAGUCAGUCUCUGGGUAAAGCCGUUGGUGGACCGUACAUUCGAGCGCAAAGACUUCUGGAUGAAGCCGUUGAGAAGCUGCUGCUUUGGCACAAAGGUCUCUGGAUGAAGCAGUUGGUGGGCAGUGCUCCUGCUUGGCGUGGAGGACUUUCGUGAAAUUCAAGGUCGUGGGCACUGCGACGUUGUUAUUUUAGCCUUGGUUUUUGGGAGAUUCUGGAAACUUCCGGACAAGGGACAGUGGCUCUUAAUGGCUCUAACCCAUGGACAUAUCUCAUAGACGGCCUCUGCUCUUGGCCACUGCAAAGUGUGUGCACAGCGGUGUCUGCUACGCUCUGCUCUCUGCCGCCACCGUGCCCUGCGCUCAGUUCACAUGGCCAAGAUUCUCCUAAUCUGGUUGCCCCACCUAUACUUCGUGCCUGUCUAUUGGACAAUCAGCAUUUUAUUAAACUAAUGUGAGUGACAAAUCUCUGCAGUGGACAAGAACAUUGUCCCACAGCAAAUAAAACAUGUAUCAGUCACUAGCAAUAAACUGGAGAAUGUUCCAGAAUUGCCAUAUGAAAAAGGACUAAUUCACAGUCAUCAUCUAACCCAAAGGAAGACACUGAACAAAAUCAUUUGAGAAGAAGAUUGGAGCAAUUGUCCUAACAUCUGGACCACUGGAGAACUCACUGAAUGAUGUGCUUUGUCCAUGAUCUCUAGGAAGACACAGGAACAAGCAACAAAAAUGAAAUGACUGGAAGAUGACAGAUGUCAAGCUCCUGAAUCUGGUUUCUAUGGUGGAAGAAACUGUUAAUUCAGCGGUGAAAACGGAGAUAAAUCACGAUGCUUUGCUUCUUCAUCUGUUUGAGCUCAGCUGCGGGAGCCUUUAUCACUUGCAGCCCUGGGAGCAGCAGAUACCUAAGCACCUGCCCACAGACCAGAACUGGAGGCGUCUACUGCUGCAGUCCUCAUAGCUCUGCUCCUCAGCUCCGUGGUACUGCGGAGAGUUGCUGUCUCUGCUGUCUGUGUCCUCAGGAGACAGAAGAUCUGACUGUAGGUUUGAGGGAGGGUAGUCUAAGGAUUGUUAUAAAAGGGGCCAGGCCAGCCGGAGGGUCAGGUAAGACCACACACCAUCAGGUUUAAGGAGUCUGCAGGAGUUAUCACAUAUCGUUCUGCAUACUCAGGAGUCUCAUGAAACCUUGGGUAGUUCCCAGCUCCCAGGAAGUGUGUGAUUUGCAAGGUCAAGGACUUGACAACAAUGCUGACAGCAUCCUAGAUGACCUGGAGGAGGUGGACCACGGGGUGAUGGAAGGAGCACCGACUUCCAUGGUCUCCAUGGAGACCAUCUCUAGAUUAGUGGAUGGCUAGGAGUCUGUGGGCCAAGUGGAAUCUACAUUUUUAGAAGUUAUAGGUGAUCUUUUCUCAGGGCUGUUUCUAUUGCUUAUGAUCAAGAAGUGACAAGGAAAGAUGGUCAUGACUUGGGAAGGAGACAGAGUGACAGUUCUCUGGCAUGGGGUUCUCAUCUACUGAGGGCAUGCAUAUCAAUUCAGGGGUAAUUCACAAAUGGCAAGAAAAUUAUUA